GCUCUCAUAGCUCAGGGGCAGAGCGCCAGUCUAGUAAACUGGAGGCCGAGAGUUCAAAUCUCUCUGAAAGCA
rnacentral:tRNA from 1 species